rnacentral:misc_RNA from 1 species
AAGUCGUAACAAGGUAACCGUAGGUGAACCUGCGGUUGGAUCAUUACGAAAUCAAAAACUUUCGUGGAUGGCAUGCCCCUGGCUGGGGGUGCCCUCUCCCGAAAUGCACACCCUUGUGAACGUUUAACGUAUUUUGGCGACCCCCCUGGCGCUUCAUUGAGUCUCGGUUGGAGUUGAGGACUCGCCUCCUCUCCUCCUGAUGGGUCGCCAGCAUUGACAACGCACCCUUGUAGUUUUUACAGUCCUCUGAAACCAAAACUUGAGAAACAAUGAGAAACAACUUUAGACAACGGAUCUCUUGGCUCUC